UAACAAAAACAUGGUUUUUUGAUAAUAAUUUAAAAUCGGUUCUGCUCACUGAAUAAUAAAAUUUAAAGAGCUGCAGUAUUCUAACUGUGCAAAGGUAGCAAAGUCAUUUGUUUUUUUAUUGGAAACUGGAAUGAAAGAGUUGAUGAGAUACAAACUGUCUCGAUAUAAUUAUAUAGAAAUUGAAAUUUAAGUUAAAAUUCUUAAAUUAAUUUAUUAGACGAGAAGACCCUAUAGAAUUUUAUAGUGUUUAUAAUUUUUUUUUAUUAAGAUAAAUUAAAAUAGGAAUUGUAAAUAUUUAUUUAAUUGGGAGGAUUUUUAAAUUUAUAAAACUUUAAGUUUUAAAAACCAAUAAUUUUUGAAAAGUUGAGUUUAUAAUAAUUAUAAGAUAAAAUUACCUUAGGGAUAACAGCGUAAUAUUUUUGGAGAGAUCAUAUUAAUAAAAAUGUUUGCGACCUCGAUGUUGAAUUAAGAUAAAAAUUGAAUGUAGAAGUUUAAUAUUUAAGUUUGUUCGACUUUUAAAAUCUUACGUGAUCUGAGUUC
rnacentral:rRNA from 1 species